rnacentral:rRNA from 1 species
GUGCCAGCCGCCGCGGUAACACCGGCAGCUCUAGUGGUAGCCAUUUUUAUUGGGCCUAAAGCGUUCGUAGCCGGUUUAAUAAGUCUCUGGUGAAAUCCUGUAGCUUAACUAUUGGAAUUGCUGGAGAUACUAUUAGACUUGAGGUCGGGAGAGGUUAGAGGUACUCCCAGGGUAGGGGUGAAAUCCUGUAAUCCUGGGAGGACCACCUGUGGCGAAGGCGUCUAACUGGAACGAACCUGACGGUGAGGGACGAAAGCUAGGGGCGCGAACCGGGUUAGAUACCCGGGUAGUCC